rnacentral:rRNA from 1 species
CGGGUGAGUAACGCGUGAGCAACCUGCCUUUCAGAGAGGGAUAACGUUUGGAAACGAACGCUAAUACCGCAUGACAUUAUCUUAUCGCAUGGUAGGAUAAUCAAAGGAGCAAUCCGCUGAAAGAUGGGCUCGCGUCCGAUUAGGUAGUUGGUGGGGUAACGGCCCACCAAGCCGACGAUCGGUAGCCGGACUGAGAGGUUGGACGGCCACAUUGGGACUGAGACACGGCCCAGACUCCUACGGGAGGCAGCAG